AGGAGGAGACGGGCAAAAAUCCAAUGAAAUACGGCGAAUUCGUUGGAAUUCAGUCAUUUAGAAGCUGCUGUCUACCUAACUUGUCGAUGUGUGUCGACAACCCAGAUGACUGUUUGUAAAGUAUGUCUACAUCUGCAUCUAUUUAUUUGGCAACCAAAGGCACCAUAGACAGAACUAAUACCAUAUGUUUUCAGUUAUUUUUCUCUUAUAUAUUAAAACUUAACCUUACUUCCUUACUUAUUUAAUUUAAAGCCAUCGGAAAUUAUUUUAUUAUAAUUCACCUUCUUAUAUUGCCCUUAGAUUGAAAUAAUUAGCUUGCUUCUCAAUAUAAAUAAAACUUGAGUAUCGUAAAUAA